GUGGCCCGUCAGCUGCUUCCCCAGCGUCACCUCGGGGGGGUUCUGUGGGGAGACGUGAGCAGAGAGGGCCUGUGCCUGCGGGGGUUCAGCUUCAUACCAACGUUUUAACAGAUUUAUGUGGUAGAUCUGGGUGUGGCGGCGGCGUCCCGGUUGGCUCACUUUGUAGUUGACAGGCCCGGUUUUUGCAACCACCUCGUAGGGCCCGUGCCAUUUAGCCAGAAAUUUACACUCAUGGGUUGGGACCAAGACCAUCACUUUAUCACCCGGCUGAAAUUCUCUCACCUGUGCUCCGCGAUUGUAGACCCGGGCCUGGGCUUGCUGUGCCUGCUGCAUGUUCUCCCGGACCAUGGGCCAGAUCCGGGACAUCCGUAGGUGCAUCUGCUCCACAUGCUCGAUGACCGUGCUAUGUCGCGAAGGUUGGCGCUCCCAUGUUUCCUUAGCCAGGUCCAACAGCCCUCGGGGUCGCCGCCCAUACAGCAGCUCGAAGGGUGAAAACCCGGUAGACGCCUGAGGUGUGGUUAAACCGCUCAACCAGCCCGUCGGUCUGUGGGUGAUAGACGGACGUCCUCACCUGCUUCACCUUCAGCAGGCCGCACAUCGCCUUUAACACGGUGGACAUAAAGCAGGACCCCUGGUCCGUGAGUAUCUCCGCCGCAAUACCCACCCGGCUGAACAGCAGGAACAGUUCUCGAGCUACCGCUUUCCCCGUGGCAGUCCGCAACGGGAUGGCUUCCGGGAACCGGGUAGCGUAGUCCAGGAUGACCAGGAUGUAUUUGUGCCCUCGGCUGGACCUUGGAAGAGGGCCCACGAUGUCCAUGGCGAUGCGCUGGAAGGGGACCUCUAUGAUGGGCAGAGGGAUCAGGGGGUUUUUAUACUUUACCUUGGGGCUAUGGAGCUGGCAGUCAGCGCAGUGGCGACAGUAUUCCUCGACGGCCCUCUUCACCCCAGGCCAGUAGAACCGUUCGAUGAUGCGCUCAUACGUCUUCUCAGCUCCUAAGUGGGCCCCCAGGAGGUGGGUGUGGGCGAGGUACAGGACCUUUGAAAUGUACGUCUUGGGGACUAACAGCUGGUGGACUCUCUCUUCCUUGACCCGGGACACCCUAUAUAAUAACCCCUGCUCAAUCAAAAAAUAGGGGGGGGUUGUUUCACUCACCCCUGGUCGUGGCAUCCCAUCAAUCUCCUGGACAUCCCUCCAGGCCUGCGUCAAGUUGGGAUCCUGCAGCUGCGCUGUUCCAAAGCGGCCCUGUUCCCCGGUCUGGCUCCCC